UUUUGGAAGCGUGCUCUGGACAUCUGGAGACGGAACAGAGCCUGGGGAGGGGAGUCCUAAGAGAAGUCUCCAAAGAGGUCUCCACGGAACCAGCCCCAUGAAGCUGUUGUACAUUCUCCUCUUCGUCGUCUUCCUCAUGUCUGAAGUGACGCCAGCUUAUGGGCACGGUACAGUGCAUACUUGGUGUGACUGGGAUGUAAGUGUGUGCCUGAAGAGGAAAAGAAACUGCAUCAUGCGCAUGCCUGGCAUGUGCCCUGGAAGAAGCUUCUGCUGUUUGAGAAUAAAGUGAACCCGAGAAUUCACGUUUCAUGCCCUGACCCCGUGUUCAGUAAACUGAAGGGCUCAUGUUUAACAUGUCCACUCUGAGUUAAUUCUUCA